AAAACUAUGAGUUUGACUUUGGCUCGGAGUGAACGCGUGCAAAAUGUCUUGACACAUGCAAGUUAAAAGAAAUAAUAAAUUUAUUUCUUUAGCGUAUCGGUGAGUAAUGUACGAACAUUUACCAAUAAACUUAUAUUGAUAAUAAAUACAAAUUUCUUAUUAAAAUACAAAUAAUUUUGUAAAAAAAAAGAUAAAAAAAAUUAUUGAUUAGUUCGUAUCAAGCUAGAUUUUUAUUAACAUAAAUCGAUUAGCUUUAGCUGUUUUGAAAGAUUGAACAGUCACAUAGGGGCUGAAAAACACCCUACCGUUGGCAGCAGUGGAGAAUAUUGGUCAAUGAACGAAAGUUUGAACCAGCGUUUUGCGGGGAUGAAAGAUUCAUAGAAUCGUGAAGGCUAUGACAGCUGUAAAGUCCGUCCGCGAGUUAAAAAAAUGAUUUUAUACUCGAAGAGAACCCUGGGCCAACAACGUGCCAGCAGCUGCGGUAAGACGUUGACAGGGGAGCGUUACUGGCCUUUACUAGGCGUAAAGCGUGACUAGAUGGUUUAAGAAUUUAAAAUAUAAAUCACAGAAUAGACGAAGAUUAUUUUAAAACCUUAAUACUAGAGGAUUAAAGAAGUAAGUGAUACACACAAUUUAGAGAUGAAAUUCUGAUAGAUUGUGAAGAUCUUCAGCGGCCACGGCGACUUUCUAUUUAAUUCCUAACAUCGAAUCACUAAAGCACGAGAAUCAAUCAGGAUUGGAGACCCUAGUAGUUCGUGCCCUGAAUUCAUGGAUAUUUUAUAUAAAAAAUUUGAUUUUAUAUAUAAGCUUACGCGAAAAUAUCUCGCCUGGGGAGUAAAUCUGCAAAGAUAAAACUUAAAAAGAUUGGCGGGAGUUUGUAUAAAUGGUGGAGCGUGUGGUUUAAUUCGACAAUCCACGUUAAACCUUACCAAUGUCUUUAAAUUUAUUUUCGAAAUAUUUUAUUAAAUUUUACGAUAUAAAUUUAAGUGGUACUGCAUGGCUGUCGUCAGUUUGUGUUGUGAAGUGUAAUAUUUAGUUAUUUAACAAACGCAACCCUUAAUAUAAAUUUUAUUUAAGUUUUUUAUUAAAGAAACUUGCUUAAUAAAAACAUAUAUUAUUUAUAUAUUACUACAAAGCAAGCAGACUAAAAUUUUUUAAAAUUAGCUUGUUUUGAGGAAGUUAGGGAGAAGUCAAGUCAUUAUGGUCUAGAUAUGUUGGGCUACACACGCGCUACAAGGCUAAAUACAAUUGGAUACAAUAAAUAAAUUUAAAGUAAACCCUUAAAAAUUAGCUAAGUUCAGAUCGUAAACUGAAACUCGUUUACGUGAAGAUGGAAUCAUUAGUAAUCGUAAAUUAGAAUGUUACGGUGAAUGAUAUAUCAAACUUUGCACACACCGCCCAUCACGCUCGGAGAGUUAUAUUUUUUGGAAAUUUGACAAAUUAUUCUAGAUUGUUAAAUUAUUAACGAUAUUUAAAAUUUUUAAAUUUAAAUCAGAUUUAAUUUGUGAAUCAAGGCGGAUGUAGUAAUCUGAGUGAAGUUGAAACAAGGUAAUAGUAGGGGAACCUGCUGUUGGAUUAUAUAUAAU
rnacentral:rRNA from 1 species